UACGUAGGGGGCUAGCGUUGUCCGGAAUCAUUGGGCGUAAAGCGCGUGUAGGCGGCUUGGUAAGUCCGUUCUGAAAGCCCGGGGCUCAACCCCGGGAGGCGGAUGGAUACUGUCAAGCUCGAGUCCGGAAGAGGCAAGUGGAAUUCCAGGUGUAGCGGUGAAAUGCGUAGAUAUCUGGAGGAACACCGGUGGCGAAGGCGGCAUCCUGGACCGACACUGACGCUGAUGAGCGAAAGCCAGGGGAGCAAACGGG
rnacentral:rRNA from 1 species